rnacentral:tRNA from 1 species
CACUGGAUAGCUCAGACGGUUAGAGCAUCGGACUUUAAUCCGACGGUCGCGGGUUCGAAUCCCGUUCCGACAA